UACGUAGGGGGCUAGCGUUGUCCGGAAUUAUUGGGCGUAAAGAGCUCGUAGGCGGUCUGUCGCGUCGGCUGUGAAAACCCGGGGCUCAACCCCGGGCCUGCAGUCGAUACGGGCAGACUAGAGUGUGGUAGGGGAGACUGGAAUUCCCGGUGUAGCGGUGAAAUGCGCAGAUAUCAGGAGGAACACCGGUGGCGAAGGCGGGUCUCUGGGCAGUAACUGACGCUGAGGAGCGAAAGCGUGGGGAGCGAACAGG
rnacentral:rRNA from 1 species